rnacentral:rRNA from 1 species
GCUUACCAAGGCAACGAUGCGUAGCCGACCUGAGAGGGUGAUCGGCCACACUGGAACUGAGACACGGUCCAGACUCCUACGGGAGGCAGCAGUAGGGAAUCUUCCGCAAUGGGCGAAAGCCUGACGGAGCAACGCCGCGUGAGUGAUGAAGGUCUUCGGAUCGUAAAACUCUGUUAUUAGGGAAGAACAAAUGUGUAAGUAACUAUGCACGUCUUGACGGUACCUAAUCAGAAAGCCACGGCUAACUACGUGCCAGCAGCCGCGGUAAUACGUAGGUGGCAAGCGUUAUCCGGAAUUAUUGGGCGUAAAGCGCGCGUAGGCGGUUUUUUAAGUCUGAUGUGAAAGCCCACGGCUCAACCGUGGAGGGUCAUUGGAAACUGGAAAACUUGAGUGCAGAAGAGGAAAGUGGAAUUCCAUGUGUAGCGGUGAAAUGCGCAGAGAUAUGGAGGAACACCAGUGGCGAAGGCGACUUUCUGGUCUGUAACUGACGCUGAUGUGCGAAAGCGUGGGGAUCAAACAGGAUUAGAUACCCUGGUAGUCCACGCCGUAAACGAUGAGUGCUAAGUGUUAGGGGG